rnacentral:rRNA from 1 species
UGGUGGGGUGACUCGUCUGGUUAAUUUCGAUAACGAACGAGAUCCGAGCUGUUUAGUUGAUUAUAUCAAGCAUUGAGUAAAAUCUUCUAAAUGGACAAUCAGUAUUAAGCUGAGGGAAGUUUCGGGCUAAAUCA